UAAAGGACAGGGAAUGAUUUCUCCCCUGGCAAUCCGCCUAAACCGCUGUUUCAGCUGAUGACUUCUAUGUGUUU
rnacentral:ncRNA from 2 species